rnacentral:misc_RNA from 1 species
AAGACUAUAGACCUGCGGAGUACCUGCGGAAGGAUCAUUACUGUGAUUUACUACUACACUGCGUGAGCGGAACGAAAACAACAACACCUAAAAUGUGGAAUAUAGCAUAUAGUCGACAAGAGAAAUCUACGAAAAAACAAACAAAACUUUUAACAACGGAUCUCU